UUUUAUGUACAUGCCUACAACAUAGAGUUAAUGCAUCGGAUCCCAUGAGAACUCUGUAGUUAAGCAUGCUCAGGCUAGAGUAGAACUAGGAUGGGUGACCGCCCGAGAAGUACUUGUUGAUAUUGAGA
rnacentral:rRNA from 1 species